CUUCUUCUCCCACAAUGCCCCACUGUGCUGUACCAUUUUCCAGGCCAUUGUCGCGUCUCCUCGGCUGCUGCAGAGGCUCAUGGGUUCCCGCCAGGCUGACUCAUUCAAACUGGCCAAACUAUGGCAGCCUAGGGGGCAUGGCUUGGGGAGCGGACCUGAGGGCAGCAGACUUCACUCAGGUCCACUCUUCAUCUAUUUAUUCUGGCCAUUGCUGCACUUAGCAGCCCUGCACUGUCACACUAUGACCGUUCAAACUGGCCAGGCAGCAACAAUUCGGCCAUCUAAGCACUCACAAUAGCUAUGUUUGUGUUCCCCUCAUGAAUCUGCAAAAAUUGGUGAUGAUUUUAUGUCCGUAAGCAUGAUUAUCUUGAAGACAAUACCUCCUUGCGUAUCUAUCUAUACAGAAUCUGAUGCACAUUCUUUCUGGAGGGAAUAGCCAUCAUGGCAGCUGGCUAAUGUGUUUCACAGUCGCCUGCCAUUCAGUAAGUAAGCGAGGUUAUCAAGUACUCAUUUGCUUUCCUUUGACUGUGAGGAACCCCUGGGCUUCCACAAAUGUAAAUUUAAUUUACUUCUGACAUGCCAUUAAAAACAAGGAAGAAAUGAAAGAAUAUGUGAAAUGAGCUUCAGACUUUGCAAAUGUCCCUUUUUAUUAGUUAAUUUCCACAGGGGAUUACUGUACAGAUUUUUAUUUUUUAAAAAGGCUCUUGUUUCCUUACCGUUGGCACGUUUCCUUUGCAGUGAGAGAAAUGUGGGGUGUUUCAAGAGGUGAACGUCUACAUUUAUCACUCUGGUUUCCCAAUUUGUCCUCUGAGGGCGAAUGCUGUAAGUGUGAGGCCUGUAAGGUUUACCUUUUGUCCUUGCUGAGAGAGAAACAAAUUACUAAAUUACUCUUCAGGUUUCCCCUGCUUUGUUAGGUCUCCUGUGUAACAUGAAUGGCUAUGUCACAGGAUAGAUAAAAGGAAAUACUUCUUCAGGCACUGUAUGGUUAAACUAUGGAAGGAAGGAAUCAGUGAUCGUUACCAACAGGGAUGGCUUUCAAAGCAGAUUUUUCAAAGUGGAUUAGACAAAAUCAUGGAGCAGAAGGCCACCAAUGGCUACUAUUCAUUGGCUUCAUCCAGCAGUCUUGCCUUAUGUUCUUAUUACCAAUAUCUGCACUACAAAAUUAUAGUUGUCCUUAUGCAUAUAGGUGUCAGGCGGUUGAGAAACCAACCCCCACAGCAGGUUGCGAGAAAUGGACAAGGAAAAGUCCUUACCAUCUGCUUUUCUUAAAUAUUCACAGAGAGAGGAUUGGGAAUGCAGCCUCUCUGAAUAAUCAGAAUAAAUAACAAGAUGAAAGAUGAAAAAAUAUUUUUAAAUAAUUCCAUUGGCACCUUAAAGAUCAACUAAAUAUAAGCUUUCAAGGUAUGAGCUUUCAUGUGUAAUACACACUUCGUCAGAUACCCUGAAGCAGAGGCCACUUCAACCUUAUAACUGUUGAUGACUGUUAUGGCAGUUGGUUCCACAAAUUAGCUUCAGUAUGUAUAAUGGGACAUGAAUCCAAUAUCUCUAUUCAGACAAGGUCUCUCCAUAGUUUUUAGUUUGGUAUUUAUUAAAACUAAAAUUCUUAAAACUAAAAACUAUGGAGAGACCUAGUCUGAAUAGACUAAAGCUAACUUUGGUCAUCUAUCCCUUUAAAAAUCCCUUGCCCUUCCCUGUGGAACCAACUGCCAUAACAGUCAUCAACAGUUAUAAGGUUGAAGCGACCUCUGCUCCAUUAUUUAAAAAGAUUUAUUUAAAAAGAUUUUUUCAUCUUUCAUCUUGUUAUUUAUUAUGACUGUGACAGAUCAACAGGCUAGCCACCUGAAUCUCUGAAUAAUGACAUUGUCCAGAGGAAAUCUCCAAACCCCUUUCUCCCACCUCCUCAUUCGUCAACAGUACCACUCCCUUUACGGUUUCUGCUUAGCGCCAUCUGUCUCGAAGCUCUUUGCUCUCCUACUUUUAAGGCUCGCUGGGUUCUUGGUAUAUGGUGGGUCUGGAAUGCUUUCCUGCUCCAGCUCUGCCUCUUCUCCCAUUAUUUCACAACUUUCCCCCUCAUCUGCCUCUGAGCUGUGACCUCCCUCAAACCCCUGCUGUAAAUCUAUACUGUCUUCCUCUUCCUCCUCCCUGGAAGGGUCAAGAUGGGGAGGCGGUCUCCACCAUUCCUCCUCUGCCCAGUCCCUAACAAUAGGGCAGGUGUAGGGAAUAUUUCUGCCUUCAGACAUUGCUCAACUACAACUCCCAUAAUUCCUGGACAUUUUAUGAAGGUACAGCCACACAGAGUUUGUGUAGAUGUAUAUGGGUGGGGAGAACAUGUAUCAUUUUUCUACCAGCUCUUUUGCAAAAACCACAUCACAAGCUUUUUAUAAACCGACUAGCCGUUAGAUCUAUCAGUUGCUUGUUACAAACUGAUUAUCUCUAUUCUAUUCAGAUACAUUUUCUCCUAGGCUGCCAUAGAACAUUUUCAGUGAGAAAAAUGUGCUUGUCGUUUUUGCUGGCUGUUAACUGGCUUUUCAAUGAAACCACGACUUCUCUUUCCAGGUGCACAAGAUCCCAGCCAACCAGGGAUCACAGUUUGAUGAUGACUGUAGCCAAUCAGAGUCAACCUUCUGACAAUAUUGCAAAGCCAAUUAAUAAGAUAAUGCUCCCUGCCCUCACUCUAAAUGGGCAAGUAUAUUUGAUCAAUUUUGCAGUCUUCCCUACGCCCAAAAAAGAAUGAAAGUGGGGUGCUUCUUCUGUGAAACAUUUCUCAAAAAGUGUCUCUCAGUGUUAAACCAUCGUUUUUUCCCCAGCUUGUGUUUACAUUUCAUUAUUUUACUUUGCUUAUAGGUUACUCGCCUCACCUUCCUGCUAAUGAUUUGAUAGAUUAGUUUUUCCCCUGGUGAUUAUUAUUUAAUCCUUUCAUUCACAUUAAGUGUUCAGUAAGGAAGAUUGUUGUUCUUUUUUCAGGGCAGGAAGUUAUCCGUAAGAGACAGUUUCUGUGGCAAAACAGGUGGGAGUUGUUUACCUUUUCCUUUUUCUCCAGAUCAGGCUGUAACAUCCUGGAGACAAAUAAUCACUUUGCUUACAGAAUAAACUUGCAUAAUUUCAACCGGC